AACGAACGCUGGCGGCAGGCUUAACACAUGCAAGUCGAACGCAUCGCAAGAUGAGUGGCAGACGGGUGAGUAACGCGUGGGAACAUACCCUUUUCUACGGAAUAGCUCUGGGAAACUGGAAUUAAUACCGUAUACGCCCUACGGGGGAAAGAUUUAUCGGGGAAGGAUUGGCCCGCGUUGGAUUAGCUAGUUGGUGGGGUAAAGGCCUACCAAGGCGACGAUCCAUAGCUGGUCUGAGAGGAUGAUCAGCCACAUUGGGACUGAGACACGGCCCCAACUCCUACGGGAGGCAGCAGUGGGGAAUAUUGGACAAUGGGUGCAAGCCUGAUCCAGCCAUGCCGCGUGAGUGAUGAAGGCCUUAGGGUUGUAAAGCCCUUUCACCGAUGAAGAUAAUGACGGUAGUCGGAGAAGAAGCCCCGGCUAACUUCGUGCCAGCCGCCGCCGUAA
rnacentral:rRNA from 1 species